CGAAAUCACAAGCACACAUCGAAGGCCGUAGGAAUUGUAACUUCAGAGUUUAUGUUUCAAUUGUACCAGCUUUGUGUUCACACCCAAACUCUAAGGGUAGGAUCUACCGCAUGCUGGGUGGCGUGGCAUUCCAGUUCCGUUUAUUUUCUGCUGACGCUGGCGAAGUGCGUGAAGAUUUGUAUCUGAAGUGACAGGAUUCAAAUGAAACAUGACAAACCUGUAAAAGCUGCAACCUGAACAUGUCAAUGCAGGACUCUGCAGUGAAUGAGAUGGGACGGGGCUUGAGAGACAAACCACACACACUGGCUGCCGAGCAGGGCAGCUCAGGAUAUCCAAGGGAGACCCCAAGGGGGCAAGUCCUUGCUGGCUGGAGCUUGCGUGCCGUGGGGGUUCAGCAUGGAUUGCCGGUUUGUUUACAGAUACAAACCGCCCGUUCCAGGUCGCCCAGGGAAAGUGCGGGAGCAGGGGCGCAGCAGGGCAGUCCUCACUCUACCACGUGUGCCACGGUGCUCGGGACAGCCUGCUUGGCAGUCACUUAUCAGGAAGAAUGAAUGGCUGCUGUAUCAUUCAAGUGAUUCUCAGAGUUACCAUUAAUCAGGUUCAACUGAAGAGGCUGUUCUAAGAAAGACAACUGAGAUCAUCACUCACCUCCUCAGAGAAAGUUGACUCAGAGAGUUUUGUUUACCAUGUAAACAACACAACAUUUAUUGUUGAAUCCCUAUUCCUUUACAGGCAGACCAGAGACUUUCGAUUUUUUUUUUUUUUUGGUGGGGGCACGUGUGUAAAAGAAAGGGUCAUGGGCGAGAGGAGGGGUCCUGGGAAGACGGACCUGUAAGCCACAGCAUCCCCUCGGGGAAGGGUCCGGAAGGCGAAGAGUGUCCUUUCCACUCAAAUGUCACGUGCGUUUCCACUUAUCUUACCAAGCAAGACGACAAACUGGAUUUCCCCGAGAGCCUGGGGAUGCCUAGGUGACAGGAGUGACGGGAGAGGGUGAGGGGCAGGCCUGGAAACAGAUUCUUGGCCUCCCCGUGUGUCCAAACCCCCAGAAAAUGCCUGGAGGAGAGCGGAGGGGGAGGAGUGAAGAUCCUCCGUAACUUUUCUAAAGCAGGAAUAUAUUAGACUCAGUAAGCUCGACACAUUUGCCCCGCUUGUGAGCCCGGGUGGUUAUCUGCACUGAAGGAGGAGAAGAUAAUCUUCAGAGCUCACUUUUCUCAGAUCACAGAAAACCAACAAAACCCAGAAUGUGUUGCUUUGGGCGAAGAACAGUGAUAACAACCUCUAAGUAUGCUCAGUGACUCCAAAAUUGUCAUUUAUAGUAUCUAUCCUACAUUAAAGAAAAAACAACUCAACUAAAACAAUGAAUCCCAAAGGUAAGAAGAUCGAGGGCUGGGGGCGGGAGGGACGAACAGGCAGAGCACAGAGGACUUUAAGGGCCGUGGCACCCUCCUGUUUGCUGCUGUGGCAGUGAACCCGUGUCAUUACACAUUCGUCAAAGGCUACAGGAUGUGCACCACCAAGAGUGAACCCUAACGUGAACUACGGAAACUACAGUCUUCAGUUGGUAACAGUCUAUCUAUAUUAGCUUAUCAAUUGUAGUAACUACACCAGAGGAAUACAACCCUUAGUGACGGGGCACUGGCAGGUGAGGCGGGAAGACGGGGGCAAACGGGAGCUCGUUCCGUUCUGCUCGGCGUUUCCGUAAACCUAAAACUGCUGUACAAAAUAAAAUCUGUUAAAA